rnacentral:rRNA from 1 species
UUGUCUCAAAGAUUAAGCCAUGCAUGUCUCAGUACAUACCAAAAUAAGGUGAAACCGCGAAAGGCUCAUUAUAUCAGUUAUGGUUUAUUAGAUCGUACCCACAUUUACUUGGAUAACUGUGGUAAUUCUAGAGCUAAUACAUGCAUACAGAACUCCGACCGGAGACGGAAGGAGCGCUUUUAUUAGAUCAAAACCAACACGGGCGGUGGGAGCCGGCGGCGUCUCGCGCGUCUUCGCGUUCUCACCGUCUCACACAUAGCUCGCACGACGAAUCUGAAUAACUUUUUGCCGAUCGCACGGUCACGCACCGGCGACGCAUCUUUCAAAUGUCUGCCUUAUCAACUUUCGAUGGUAGGUUAUGCGCCUACCAUGGUUGUAACGGGUAACGGGGAAUCAGGGUUCGAUUCCGGAGAGGGAGCCUGAGAAACGGCUACCACAUCCAAGGAAGGCAGCAGGCGCGCAAAUUACCCACUCCCGGCACGGGGAGGUAGUGACGAAAAAUAACGAUACGGGACUCAUCCGAGGCCCCGUGAUCGGAAUGAGCACACUUUAAAUCCUUUAACGAGGAUCAAUUGGAGGGCAAGUCUGGUGCCAGCAGCCGCGGUAAUUCCAGCUCCAAUAGCGUAUAUUAAAGUUGCUGCGGUUAAAAAGCUCGUAGUCGAAAUUGUGUCCUCGGCCGCCGGUUCGUCGCUCGCGACGCUAACUGGCGCGCACGCUGGACGUCCAGCCGGUACAACGAACUCGCCUACGGGGUGCUCUUAACCGAGUGUCUAGGCGGGGGCCGGCAACGUUACUUUGAACAAAUUAAAGUGCUUAAAGCAGGCUAAAUUCCGCUCGCAUACACGCGCAUGGAAUAAAUGAAUAGGACCUCCGUUCUAUUUUGUUGGGUUUUUGUGGAACGACAGACGGAGGUAAUGAUCAAUGGGUGCGGAUGGGGGCAUUCGUAUUGCGACGUUAGAGGUGAAAUUCUUGGAUCGUCGCAAGACGGACUUAAGCGAAAGCAUUUGCCAAA